rnacentral:rRNA from 1 species
GACGAACGCUGGCGGCGUGCUUAACACAUGCAAGUCGAACGGUAAGGCCCUUCGGGGUACGCGAGUGGCGAACGGGUGAGUAACACGUGGGUGAUCUGCCCUGCACUUCGGGAUAAGCCUGGGAAACUGGGUCUAAUACCGGAUAGGACCCUGGGAUGCAUGUCCUGGGGUGGAAAGCUUUUGCGGUGUGGGAUGGGCCCGCGGCCUAUCAGCUUGGUGGUGGGGUGAUGGCCUACCAAGGCGACGACGGGUAGCCGGCCUGAGAGGGUGACCGGCCACACUGGGACUGAGAUACGGCCCAGACUCCUACGGGAGGCAGCAGAGGGGAAUAUUGCACAAUGGGCGCAAGCCUGAUGCAGCGACGCCGCGUGAGGGAUGACGGCCUUCGGGUUGUAAACCUCUUUCAGCACCGACGAAGCGCAAGUGACGGUAGGUGCAGAAGAAGGACCGGCCAACUACGUGCCAGCCGCCGCAGUAC